AGGAGAAGCAACUGGCUUUGUUUUAGAUGCUGACAACUCUGUCUGUGCCCCAAGUAGCGACGAGUCUCACUGAAAGCAUACGAGCCAUCCAGCUGAACCACAGUACCCUGCUCUUGAACUUCAUUUUAAGGGCACAUAAUGUUAAGGGCUUAGCUAUGUGAAUAUGGAGUCCUUCAACACCCGCUCAAGGCAAGGAGAAGUACUCAAUGAAAGAAAUACAUACGGAAGUUGCAGCAACAAGAAUGCCGAAUAUGAAAGAAAUGCAGGAUUGGAUCCUGAGCCUGAUGAACAGAACAGGAAGGUUCUCUGCAUCUGAGCAUUUUGGAGUGAUGUCACUACACAAAAACAGCUUCAUCAGUGCAAAUCUUCAGGGAGCUCUGACUGCACCACUGUACAGGUAUGAAGACUAGGAAGGAUCUAAGGAAGACACAGGCAUCUGCAUAGAUUAAAAAAAAGAGAUGAAGAUCCUGAUAAGAUCUACGGGGAAUAAGAAAACAGACAAGUCUAUGGCUUCAAAAGCACAGCAGCUUUCUUGUCUCUAUUGCUGCACAGAAAAAUCAAUGCCAGGGCUCUGUCUCCUCCUGUCCUAAAAGGAUGCAAGAAACACAAAGGCAUAACAGCCUAACUAACAGCCAUCUGCUUGGGGGAGCUGUCAGCGGGAUGAUUUGCAAUAUGUGAUGGACUGAAGCAAGCAUGUCCUUCUGGCAGGUGGGGCGGCCAUAGGCUUUUGUUCUUGCCUUGGCUGGGCUCACAACACUACCUUUUUUUGAGCUAGAAGUUGAGCAACUUCUCUCUUCUGAGUGGCUUCUCAGUGGGAACACUGAGUGCCAAAAAAACCAAACACCUGUCUCCAAAGUUGUUAGGAACAUAAGUAUUUUGCAUAUAGCAGCUGAGUCAAACAAGGGAAACUCUUUUGACUUCCUCUCCUCCCCAGCUUUCAUUUGAAAAAAGUGUGUGUGGGGGGAGAGUUUCAACUGCCUCCUAAUUGUUCCUCACUUCCUGUCAAAAGAUCUGAACUAAAUCCCAGGAAACUUGUCAUUCCCUGUCUGAAGCAGAGUUCAGGAGAACAAUAGAUGGCUAAAAUCAAUGGUUCCACAGCAAAGACUUGUUAAAAUGUAAGUUUGCAUUGCUACUCACUAUUGAAUAGCUCUAUUGGAGCUCCUAAUACACUUCCACUGUAAGUUUUGUUGGUGACUUUCAACACACUAAUAUAUCUUUUAGCUUCUCUGAUGGUUGCUAGGAGGAACUAUCUCCUUCUGAAAAAAAAAUAAAAUAGGUGGAAUAUAAAGGUCAACAAAGAAAUUUACCAUAGUACAACAUAAAAUCAUGGCAGUCUAGUUUAGUACAGAAAAGCUCAUUUUUUCCUCAAAGCCAUCAUUUCUCAUCUUCAUUUCAAUUUCAAAGACUGAUGAUGCCAUAACGCCUAAGAUGGUGAAACAGAUUGGCCCUUGAGUCAUUAGUUAUUCUUCAUAUCCUUCUCAACGCUAUCUCACUAAUUCAACUUGAUUAGAUUAGCAGUUUCUCUUGGUGUAAGCCCCAAACUUGUUUAUCUUGAAGCACUAAAAGUAGCUUCCCAAAGCCAUAUCUGGUAUCCAAAUGGGUUGUCCUGAUAUUCCCAGAAAAAAGACAACCCUUCCUCACUUCCUGAAGCAAUGACAGAGUUGUCUAGUUAAACAGCAUGGCAGAUGGAGCCUGUGCAGCUUACCCUUCAUGUGUUUGCCGCUGCCAGACAGAAACCCCAUUACAGGACUCAGGGAAAUAAAUAUCAGAAUACAAGACAGGUUCUAUUUUCUAUGAAGUUGCCACUGUCUUGUGCUUGCUUUCCACCACUGUCAACACAAAACUAUUAAAAUGCAUAAUUUAUUGCAGGUCGCUUGAAUAUAUCUGAAAAGAUAAUCUCUGUGAAUGUCUCCCUAUUCAAAUCUUGCACAGAUUUCCUCUAGUAGCAGAAGACAUAAAAGAAGUAGGAGAUUUGAGAAAGAUUUACUUGAGAAGAAUGUCAAGUGUCAUAUCUUAUUUUCCUCUCUCAUUGCUGACGCUCAUUUGAAUCUCCCAUUCAGCACUGGGAACAUCCGAGUUAUCAGCUGUUCCCACUCAUUGAGAAACUUGAAAGAUAAAUUCUGAAAACAGUGAACAGGAUUGGAGGCCCAAAUCCUGUUUGUCUGGUCUUGAGGCAGAACCAACCACACGUUGAAUUAGUUCUUUGCUCCACAAGAAGGCAUGAAGCAUAGAUAAGGCUGUAUAAGCAUCAAUGGCUUACUUGGAGAGAUCCGAUCCAAUCACGGCACAUCAAGUAGAUUAAGAGGCCAAGUGGAACAUAACAUGCUCUGUCCUGGUGAGAACUGGGAGGCGUGAUGACCAAACUCUGAAGAUCAGACUGCUUAAAAGUAGUAUUUCUGCAUAUGAAUAUCUAGUGCCUAUCCACAGGCAACCAAGCUUGACCAAGUCAUACAGCUUAAAAAGGUCAAGAUCUCCAAGGAAAUUCUGUGGAAGGAAACCAAGAAGAAAACUCUUAUUGUCCUAUCGCUACAAGGCUUUCUUUCUUCUUCUGUUAAAGCAAUUCAUUUUGUAAAGACUUAACAAGCUAAAUCUUAAAUUCCCCCCUAAAACAGACUUGGAUCCAAGCUACCCUGAGAAUUAGUUGGUAUAACUGAGAUCAGAAUCCAGACUUCCAUUCUUCUUCAUUCCUUACCAGGCAGUCUCUCCUCUCUUUCAAAAUAAAGUGUAGAUUUCAAU
rnacentral:lncRNA from 7 species